GGGGGAUUAGCUCAUUUGGCUAGAGCGCUUGCAUGGCAUGCAAGAGGUGGUCGGUUCGAAUCCGAUAUCCUCCACAA
rnacentral:tRNA from 1 species